rnacentral:rRNA from 1 species
AUUGAACGCUGGCGGCAUGCUUUACACAUGCAAGUCGAACGGCAGCGCGGGCUUCGGCCUGGCGGCGAGUGGCGAACGGGUGAGUAAUGCAUCGGAACGUGCCCAGUAGUGGGGGAUAGCCCGGCGAAAGCCGGAUUAAUACCGCAUACGACCUGAGGGUGAAAGCGGGGGACCGAAAGGCCUCGCGCUCUUGGAGCGGCCGAUGUCGGAUUAGCUAGUUGGUGGGGUAAAGGCUUACCAAGGCGACGAUCCGUAGCUGGUCUGAGAGGACGACCAGCCACACUGGGACUGAGACACGGCCCAGACUCCUACGGGAGGCAGCAGUGGGGAAUUUUGGACAAUGGGGGCAAACCUGAUCCAGCCAUGCCGCGUGCGGGAAGAAGGCCUUCGGGUUGUAAAGCGCUUUUGUUCGGGAAGAAAUGCUCUGGGCUAAUACCCCGGGGGGAUGACGGUACCGGAAGAAUAAGCACCGGCUAACUACGUG